UUUUUUGAUUACAUGUAAAUCAUUCUUGGUUUUCUUUACAAAGUCAAUCCUUAAACCUACUCUGGACUCGCUACGCUUUGAAUCUGCGGUAAAAAUAACGAUAUCGUAUGUUAACUUUUUUUUUAAUUGUUUUAUCUGUACUUUUUUACUGAGAAGGCAAGCUAUGUGCGACGCCUGCCAUUUUGAUUUUAUUUGUAUAUAUUUUCUUAUCCACUCUGACACCGCUUAGAGGAUGUCACGAGCUUCCAUUGACGUCAAGGGCCCUGCCUGACGUCUGUCUUGUUUGUGUGGAUGCCAGUCAGUCGGUCUGUCUGCCUGCACCGUCUGACAUUGCCUGACACACCUACAGUCCACCAGGGAAGUCAACUCGUAUCUCCAUUUGUGAUGCUUCUCAUUUAACCUCCGUCCCCUUCGUUUUCUUCAAGACGGUAACUCCUCCUCCUCCUCUGCCUGUUUCCUUUCUUCUUGGUUAUGCUGUUUCUUUUCUGCGUACUCACAGCAUACAGAAUUCAGCGACAGAGGUCAAUCGAUGUUUCUUAUAUUAUAUUAACAUCUCAUUUGAGCUCUGCUUGCUUUGCUUUCUUCGUUAUGACAAUUUGCUUUUUUCUACUUCUGCUUCUCCUCCUCUUCGUACUCACAGCACAUUAUCACAGACAUUCUCACCUCAAAUUCCCACAACUAAUGAAUUUACUCUCCUUAUGAUCCUCCUCCUCCUUCUCCUCCUCCUCGUUCACCUACUCCUAUUCACAGCAUUGGAUAUCACAGUCAACCUCGCAUCGCACGGUAUCGCUCCUCCUCCUCCUCCUCCUCCUGCUGCAUGCCCUCCUCCUCGUCUCCUUCCAUCACACCUUGGCAGUAUAAGCUGUAGGGUUGGGAAUCGAACUAUUUCCUACUGUUGACUACCUCGACAGCUUGACACAAUGGCUUUCACGCACGCACGCAGGCACGCACGCACGCAGGCAUCCACGCAGUUCUCCCUCCCUCCCUCCCAUCUUUGAGCUGCUGAUCUGUAACAUACAACACACAGCCACCUAGAACAAUGCUACGGAAAAAAUGCUACAGGAGAAAAUGCCGGUUACUGGAUAUUAUCACCACUAGUAUUAUUAGCUCAUUUGUUCUUUCUUUAAUGCGUGUUGUUCUCGUCCUUCACAUUGCCGUUCCCAGAAGUGAAAACCGAGAUAACAAUACAGCUUUUUUUUCUUUUAAACUUCGAAUUCGUCUUUUGCAUUCCAGGUGUUGUUUUUUUUUCAUUUUUCUAUUUAAUUUUCCUGAUUUUAUUUUCUUCUUUUAUUCAAUUUUUUUCUUCGUUUUCAUUGUUUCUGGUUCACUGGUCUAAUUUCAAUGGGCCGAGUUUCUAUCCUUUUUGUCAUGAAGCCGAUUUGAAUUUUAGCUUUUUUUUCAACUUAUCUUUUUUUCUGGUUUUCCAACUGAUGCUGGCUUGGGGUGUGGGGGUGUGGGGGUGCGUGGGGGGUAGGGGGUUGUUGGGGUUGAAGGCAGGGUGGUGCAAAUAUACUGUGUGGAGGGAACAGAGGUGGUGGUGGUGGUUGUGGUGGAGAUAUGUUGGUGAAGGUGGUGGUGGUGGUGGUGGUUGGGACUAUUUAUGAGCAUACAACAAAAUUUUAUUGAGCUACCGAAACCUAAAACUGCAUUUGAUUGUUGUUACUGUUAUUGUAGUGGUGGUGGUGGUGGUGGAGGUAAGGAAGUAACUGACGGAGUAUUGUCCAGUGGAAGUGGUGGGUUGAUAACUGAUGGGGGUAUUGUCAUCUUGGUGGUGGUGGUGGUGGUGCUGGUAGGGGUGGUGGGGGUGGUGGGGGUAGGGGAGGUGCUGGGGAUAGUGUUAGGGAAGCGUUACGGUACUAUAUGAUAUGUAAUAGAGGGGAAGGGGAAGGAGUGGAAGGAGUGGGGUUACUGGUGGUGGAAAAAGGUGACUGAGAGGAUAUGUGCUAACGAGAAUAGUGGACGGGGGUGGAUGAGGGAAGGAGUGGAAUUAUCAAUGAUGGUUUUAUGUUACUGGUGGUGGAAAGAGGUGACGGAUACGAGAUGUGCUAACAAGAAGUGGAGACAGGGGUGGAUGAGGGAAGGUGUGGAGUUAUCAAUGAUGGUUUUAAGUAACUGGUGGUGGAAAGAGGUAAUGGAUAGGAAGUGUGCUAACAAGAAGUGGAGGCCGUGGUGGAUGAGGGAAGGUGUAUUUAUCAAUGAUGCUUUUAAGUUACUGGUGGUGGAGGAAGAAGGUAAGAGGUGUGUACUAGCAAGAAUAAAGACAGUGAUUGAGGGAAGGUGGAGUUAUCAAUGAUGGUUUUACGUUACUGGUGGUGGAGGAAGAAGGUAACAAAGGUGUGUACUAAGACUUCUGGAAACAGUGGUGAACCUAUCAAUGAUGUCACUGGAUAAGGUAAACGGUAGGGGAUUAUUUAACCUUCAAUGAUGUACCAACGAGUGAUUAACAACUGUAAUAAUGUCCUAGUGAGUUUAUUAACUGGUGGGGAGAAUAACUGCAAUCGUGGAGUGCUGGAGUGAUUUUAAAUGUACUGUGGAAUGACUGGAUGGGGUUGGAGGAUGGGAGUAAACAGCGUAAUGGGUUUUUUAUAGUAAUGGGGAUUUUAACUAUUAGUGGAUGGGGCUUUGAUGGUGAUGGGGUUAGGUUUGGGAUUUUAACUACGAGUGGAGGGGGCGGGAAUUUAACUGUGGAAGGGAUAAUGGUGGAGAGGGAUAAUGGAAGGGGUAAUGGAGGGUGGAGAUAGGAAUAAUGGUGGAUGUGAUGGUAGUGUCAGGAUAAUGGUAGAAGAUAAUGGUAGUUUUGAGCAUAUUGGGGGGCAGAAAAUGGGAGAAAAUGGUAGGUUUGGGAAUAAUGGUAGAAAAUAAUGGUAGUUUUGAGGAUAAUGGGGACAGGAAAUGGGAGAAAAUGGUAGUGUUUGGAUAAUGGAAGAUAAUGGUAGUUUUGAGGAUAUUGGGGGGCAGAAAAUGGGAGAAAAUGGUAGGUUUGGGAAUAAUGGUAGAUAAUGGUAGUUUAGGGAAUAAUGGUAGAAAAUAAUGGUAGUUUAGGGAAGAUUGGUAGAAAAUAAUGGUAG